rnacentral:rRNA from 1 species
AGAACGAACGCUGGCGGCAUGCCUAACACAUGCAAGUCGAACGAGACCUUCGGGUCUAGUGGCGCACGGGUGCGUAACGCGUGGGAAUCUGCCCUUGGGUUCGGGAUAACAGUUGGAAACGACUGCUAAUACCGGAUGAUGUCUUCGGACCAAAGAUUUAUCGCCCAAGGAUGAGCCCGCGUAGGAUUAGCGUUGUUGGUGAGGUAAGAGCUCACCAAGGCGACGAUCCUUAGCUGGUCUGAGAGGAUGAUCAGCCACACGUAGGGACUGAGACCACGGCCACGACUCCGUACGGGAGCGAGCGAGU